rnacentral:rRNA from 1 species
AACGAACGCUGGCGGCAGGCCUAACACAUGCAAGUCGAGCGAGCUCUUCGGGUCUAGCGGCGGACGGGUGAGUAACGCGUGGGAAUAUGCCCCUUGGUACGGACUAGCUUCGGGAAACUGGGAGUAAUACCGUAUGUGCCCUUUGGGGGAAAGAUUUAUCGCCAAGAGAUUAGCCCGCGUUGGAUUAGGUAGUUGGUGGGGUAAUGGCCUACCAAGCCGACGAUUCAUAGCUGGUUUGAGAGGAUGAUCAGCCACACUGGGACUGAGACACGGCCCAGACUCCUACGGGAGGCAGCAGUGGGGAAUCUUGGAAAAUGGGGGCAACCCUGAUGUAGCCAUGCCGCGUGAAUGAUGAAGGCCUUAGGGUUGUAAAGCUCUUUCAGCUGGGAAGAUAAUGACGGUACCAGCAGAAGAAGCCCCGGCUAACUCCGUG